UUGGCCAGUCUGUGCCCCGGCUCCUGCCUGCAGGCUGAAGACAGGUGCUGAGCCGGCUGCACACUUGGUUUUCAUUAAGGCUCCCAGACACCGCUGGCUGCAGGCCAGGCCCGGCUCACGCGGGAUCCAUCCCUCCCUGGGGUCCAAAAACAGCCACCGGCCAGCGGGAGAGACUUGCCGUGCAAACAAGGGCUUCAGGCGCGAUGGGCUCCCAGUGGCGCCUGGAAAGCCCUCCCCCUCUCUGCACCCUCCCUGCCGGAAGGAACUGUGGCGAGCUCCUCCAGUUGCCUCCCUGGGCGACUGAGAAUCAUUCCACCCCUGGGAAGAUUUUGCCACCAACAGGAAUGGUCGGGGAGGAGAGCAACCAGAGAUGAUCCUGAAACCAACAACGCCUGCUGCCCUGCAUCGAGUUCUUCCUCUGUGCUGAGAGCUAGGAGAAUUCGUGUUCUCGGAGCGACACUGGAUGGGGUGAUGGAGUGAUGGAGAGACAGAGCUUCUGCUGGGGGACCUCCUACCCCCUGCACCUCUCAGGACUGCCCUCUGCCCUCUGGGGAGCCAGGAUCAGACGGAGUCUCCGGUGGGGUCCCAGGCACUCAAUCCACGAGCUCCCCAUGCCCAAAGGAGCACGACGUUAACAGCAAAUAAAAACACUCCUAUUGUUCGGGAGAGGCCCUUGGAGGAAUGAGAAAGUUUUGUCCUGCUUGGUGAACAA